rnacentral:tRNA from 1 species
GGUUGUGGCUCAGCGGUAGAGUGCUCGCCUAGUACAUCCGAGGCCCUGGGUUCAAUACUCAGCAUCA